rnacentral:lncRNA from 1 species
GGUAUUACUGUAUGAUAGCCAGUUUAAUCAUUUUUUGAGCAAAUUUCAAGUUCGCUGGCAUAGGCCGUAUCAGGUGAUUGAAGGUUUUUCCAAUGGAUCUAUUCCAUUGGAGGAUUUCAUGGACCAUCGAUUUAGUACUCGCAUUAACUGGAACUGAUUAUAGAGUUGUAAUACGUAAAGUCUUGCUUGAGAAUGCUCUGGGCACUUGGUUGUGGAAGGAAGAAUGGAAAUUGCAAUAAUAAAAUCUUAAUUCUAAUAGAAUAUUAACAAUGCUCUAAUUAGACUAUAAUAACGUUAAACAAGCUUAAUCAAAUUCAAAAAAACCUCAAAGAAAAUUUAAACAAAUAAUAAGAAUUCUUAAAGAAAUAUUAGAAGGAUCACAAAUAUCACUCAAAUACAUCUCAAUUCAAUCUUAAUUUAAUUCUAGUUAAAAUCCUAUUGAACUUCAUUGAAUCUUUAGGCCAAAACUAAUUGAAUCUUAAAUCCUAAUAAAAUCCUAAACCCUAAAUCAAAUCCUAAAUAAACCUUAAACCAAACCCCAAUCAAAUCAUAAACCCUAAAUCAAACCCUAAUCAAAUCCUAAUUCAAAUCCUAAAUCUUAAACCAAAUCCUAAUCAAAUUUUAAAUCCUAAAUAAACCCUAAUCAAAUCCUAAAUCAAAUCCUGAAUUCUAAAUCAAAUCCUAAUCUAAACCUAAAUCCUAAAUCAAAUCCUAAACCUUAAAUCAAAUCCUAAUCCAAAUUCUAAACCCUAAACCAAACCCUAACCA